rnacentral:rRNA from 1 species
UACGGGGGGGGCAAGCGUUGUUCGGAAUUACUGGGCGUAAAGGGCUCGUAGGUGGCCAACUAAGUCGGACGUGAAAUCCCUCGGCUUAACCGGGGAACUGCGUCCGAUACUGGUUGGCUUGAGUUUGGGAGAGGGAUGCGGAAUUCCAGGUGUAGCGGUGAAAUGCGCAGAUAUCGGGAGGAACACCCGUAGCGAAGGCGGCACUCUGGGCCGGAACUGACGCUGAGGAGCGAAAGCGUGGGGAGCAAACAGG